UGGGGGUUAGUUAAGGAAUAAUAACAUAGGUUUGUCAGACCUAAAUUGAAUAUAUUUUCAUCCCUAG
rnacentral:tRNA from 1 species